rnacentral:tRNA from 1 species
GCGCGCGAAGCUCUGCGGUGGAGCACCUGGCUGUGAACCAGGUGGUCGUGGGUUCGAAUCCCUCCGCGCGCC